CAAAAUGUAGCUUAAACAAAUCCAAAGCCUCUGGCCUACACCCAGAAAAUAUCACAUAAGAAUGAUCAUUUUGA
rnacentral:tRNA from 1 species